UACAGAUAGAUGGCCGCUUGUGUUGUUAUUCGAGUUAAUGCAAGCGAAAGGUCGUUUGUUGUUAAUUCAAGGUUGGCGACAAAUGUGUUUGAGGAAAGAUUUGAAUCUUUUUCGCUGCUAUCAAUGUCUCCCCGGCGGACGAAGUUUUUGCUUUUUUUAAUUAGCUUGGUCGUCAGUCUGGUAUUGGUUCUUGAGGUGAUGGUGGAUCGUCUAAUAGACCCGCCCCUUUCUUUAGGUCGGAAUGCCUAUCAGUCUUGGUGGUCUAGUAGUAGUAUAGUCUGAUAAGCCUUCGCUGCUUUCGAUUCAUGCUACGUCUUCGUUCUUUCUUUCCUACCGUAC
rnacentral:lncRNA from 1 species